rnacentral:ncRNA from 2 species
GAAUAGCGACAGGGGCGCUCGGAAGAUUUCCGGGCUGAGACGAACCCUUAGAACCUGAACCGGAUAAUGCCGGCGGAGGGAGGCGCGUAAGACGAUUG